rnacentral:precursor_RNA from 11 species
CUACAGCUGGAAGUUGCCAGAGUCAUUCUGGAUGACCUAGAAAAUUCCUAGAGAGGUAUCAUAUUUAGGAAUUUGCUAGUUCUUCCAGGAAGACUGCAUGGUAAUCUGCAGUGGAAG